UACGUAGGGUGCAAGCGUUGUCCGGAAUUAUUGGGCGUAAAGAGCUCGUAGGCGGUUUGUCGCGUCGAAUGUGAAAACCCGGGACUCAACUCCGGGCCUGCAUUCGAUACGGGCAGACUAGAGUUCGGUAGGGGAGACUGGAAUUCCUGGUGUAGCGGUGAAAUGCGCAGAUAUCAGGAGGAACACCGGUGGCGAAGGCGGCCUUCUGGACAGUGACUGACGCUGAGACGCGAAAGCGUGGGGAGCAAACAGG
rnacentral:rRNA from 1 species